GGGCCUUUCUGCAAUGCUUGGGUUGAGGAUCUUUUUCUUGCCAGUUAUUUAUUUAGCAGCUGAGUAACAGUGGCCAGGGCAGGCCCACCCCAUCGCCUGUGUCCAAACUUGCUUCCCGGAUUCCUGGAAAACGGACUUCCCUCCUGCAACUGGACAGGCCAUAGAGCUCCCACAUUAAAGCGGGAGGGAGAGGCAAGACGGGGAGGCUGAGAAAGACAGUCUGGAAAGAGGGGGAAAAAAACACGAAAAAUAAUGUGUUUGAGGAACACGAUUCAAACCAGUUUGUAAUUCUUUCAGGGGAAAAAAGAGGGAGGAGGAGAAAGGAGAAAAGAAAAAGUAGGAGGAGAAAGAGGAAUCGGGGAGCGACGACAUGAAGGGGUUUCCUUAAUAUUGUGGACGGAUUCAGAAAUGAAUGAAGAGAUAGUCCAUUGAAAAGGGUUGAAUGCCAUGACAACUAGCAACAACCUUAGAUUUAUUCCAAACAGUUAGGACACAUUGAAAGAGAGCGUCAAUCAUGUAUUAUUUCGCCACUGAAAUAAAUGCAAAAACCGAGGCGGGACAAAGGCUUCCAACGGGAGCGGGACAUUUGUCUACAUUUCGCUCAUUGUCCGCAGCUUAGCAAUCGGUUUGUAUUUGUGUUUGCCCGGGUCCGACCACCCAGGACGCGCCGACGAGGGGCUCGCUCCACCCUGGGCCAUUGUCACCCACAUCACAUACUGGGGGCGAGGCAGCUAGGGCAGCAGAAAGCCGCCGAGUGGUUCGGAGAGAGGCGCCCUCACUAGGCGCUGGCAACCCAGGGUGGUGGGGGCGCCGCGGUGGCCCCCGCAGCUGCGCGCAAGAAGGACCCAGGCCGCGGGCUCCACUCGGUCUGCGCCAGGCGUCCCGGGCUGGGGGAGAUAGGGGCACAGAGACCGGAACCCCAGAAGGCGACCUUCUCUGCCUUCCUCGCCCCCAGGCCGACCUCCUUCCCGGCGCUCUUGGGGCGAGCAAGCAUCAGGUAGCAAGCCUCCCCCUCCUCAAUUUUAAACUGGACGGAGGAGCGGUUCUUGAGUGGAGCCCAGCCUUAUAUGGACUGAUCGCUCGGGCAAUGGCCCAUUUUUUCCUCGCCACCAGCCGACACAGCGCGCCGAGCGGCCGCCGCCAGAGCCCGCGCUG
rnacentral:lncRNA from 1 species